rnacentral:rRNA from 1 species
UUGGGUUAAGUCCCGUAACGAGCGCAACCCUUGUCCUUAGUUACCAGCACGUUAUGGUGGGCACUCUAAGGAGACUGCCGGUGGACAAACCGGAGGAAGGUGGGGAUGACGUCAAGUCAUCAUGGCCCUUACGGCCUGGGCUACACACGUGCUACAAUGGUCGGUACAAAGGGUUGCCAAGCCGCGAGGUGGAGCUAAUCCCAUAAAACCGAUCGUAGUCCGGAUCGCAGUCUGCAACUCGACUGCGUGAAGUCGGAAUCGCUAGUAAUCGUGAAUCAGAAUGUCACGGUGAAUACGUUCCCGGGCCUU